GUUGGAUGCAGUAUUCUAUGAAUUUCAAUAGAGCAAGUUGAUUAUAAUGCUGUUCAGGCAAAUCCCAGGAUCUGCAGUAUGAGUUCGAAAGCUGGAGACCCUGGAGAGUCAAAGGUUUAGUUCCAGUCUGAAGGCCAGGAAGCUCAAGACUCAGGAGGAGCUGCGGUUUCAGUUCAAGUCCAGAAGCAGGAAAAUUUCUCUUACUUGGGAGAAGAUUUGCCUUUUGUUCUACUCAGGCUUUCAAUUGAUUUGAUGAGACCCACCCACAUGAGGGAGGACAAUCUCCUUUCCUCAAUCUGCUGGUUUAAAUAGCCUCGCUACUUAAAGUUGUGGUCUUUGGACCAUGGGCAUCAGCAUCACCUGGAGUCUGUUAGACAUGCAACAUCGCAGGCCCCACUCCAGAUCUGCUGCCUCAGGAUCUGCAUUGGAACAGGAUUGGCAUCCCCAGAGAAAGUGUGGCCCUUGCUAUGGAGAAAUGACAAUGAAUGAACUGCAGUGACACACAACAACAACAUGGAUGGACCUUCAACACAUAUCACUGAGCCAAAAAGAGCAAGAUCAAAAGAAAAAUCUCUAAUAUGAUUCCACUGGCAUAAGUUUUGAAAGCAGACAAAAUUAUAGUUUGAGGAUCCACUCUUUGGUGGUGAAACUAUAAAAGAAAACAAGGAAAUGGUUACCAUAAAUAUCAGGAGAAUGGCACAUCUAGGUGAGAGAAGGGAA